GACGGGGGGGGGCAAGUGUUCUUCGGAAUGACUGGGCGUAAAGGGCACGUAGGCGGUGAAUCGGGUUGAAAGUGAAAGUCGCCAAAAAGUGGCGGAAUGCUCUCGAAACCAAUUCACUUGAGUGAGACAGAGGAGAGUGGAAUUUCGUGUGUAGGGGUGAAAUCCGUAGAUCUACGAAAGGAACGCCAAAAGCGAAGGCAGCUCUCUGGGUCCCUACCGACGCUGGGGUGCGAAAGCAUAGGGGAGCGAACAGGG
rnacentral:rRNA from 1 species